GUGGGGAAUAUUGGGCAAUGGGCGAAAGCCUGACCCAGCAACGCCGCGUGAAGGAAGAAGGUCUUCGGAUCGUAAACUUCUAUCCUUGGUGAAGAUAAUGACGGUAGCCGAGAAGGAAGCCCCGGCUAACUACGUGCUAGCAGCCGCGGUAAUACGUAGGGGGCAAGCGUUGUCCGGAAUGAUUGGGCGUAAAGGGCGCGUAGGCGGCCUGGUAAGUCUGGAGUGAAAGUCCUGCUUUUAAGGUGGGAAUUGCUUUGGAUACUGUCGGGCUUGAGUGCAGGAGAGGUAAGUGGAAUUCCCGGUGUAGCGGUGAAAUGCGUAGAGAUCGGGAGGAACACCAGUGGCGAAGGCGACUUACUGGACUGUAACUGACGCUGAGGCGCGAAAGUGUGGGGAGCAAACAGGAUUAGAUACCCGAGUAGUCC
rnacentral:rRNA from 1 species